rnacentral:rRNA from 1 species
UGGGGAAUCUUGCGCAAUGGGCGAAAGCCUGACGCAGCCAUGCCGCGUGAAUGAUGAAGGUCUUAGGAUUGUAAAAUUCUUUCACCGGGGACGAUAAUGACGGUACCCGGAGAAGAAGCCCCGGCUAACUUCGUGCCAGCAGCCGCGGUAAUACGAAGGGGGCUAGCGUUGCUCGGAAUUACUGGGCGUAAAGGGCGCGUAGGCGGAUCGUUAAGUCAGAGGUGAAAUCCCAGGGCUCAACCCUGGAACUGCCUUUGAUACUGGCGAUCUUGAGUAUGAGAGAGGUAUGUGGAACUCCGAGUGUAGAGGUGAAAUUCGUAGAUAUUCGGAAGAACACCAGUGGCGAAGGCGACCUACUGGCUCAUUACUGACGCUGAGGCGCGAAAGCGUGGGGAGCAAACAGG